rnacentral:rRNA from 1 species
UACGUAGGGUGCGAGCGUUAAUCGGAAUUACUGGGCGUAAAGCGUGCGCAGGCGGUUUGAGAAGUCCGAUGUGAAAUCCCCGGGCUUAACCUGGGAACCGCAUUUGUGACUGCAUCGCUGGAGUGCGGCAGAGGGGGAUGGAAUUCCGCGUGUAGCAGUGAAAUGCGUAGAUAUGCGGAGGAACACCGAUGGCGAAGGCAAUCCCCUGGGCCUGCACUGACGCUCAUGCACGAAAGCGUGGGGAGCAAACAGG